rnacentral:tRNA from 1 species
GCCCCCAUCGUCUAGUGGUCCAGGACAUGGCCCUCUCAAGGCUAAAACGGGGGUUCGAGUCCCCCUGGGGGCACCA